UGGUUUGUUCAUACCACCUAACCUGAUCUAACCUUUGAAGCUAAGCAGGUGUGGGCCUGGUUAGUACUUGGAUAGGAGCCCGCUGAGAAUACCAGGUGACACAGUGG
rnacentral:rRNA from 1 species